GUGUCAGCAGCCGCGGUAAGACGUAGGGGGCGAGCGUUGUCCGGAAUUACUGGGCGUAAAGAGCACGUAGGCGGGUAUUUAAGUCAGGUGUGAAAGACCGCAGCCCAACUGCGGGGUUGCACUUGAAACUGGAUAUCUUGAGGGCAGGAGAGGUCAGUGGAAUUCCUGGUGUAGCGGUAAAAUGCGUAGAAAUCAGAAGGAACACCGGUGGCGAAGGCGACUGACUGGACUGACCCUGACGCUGAGGUGCGAAAGCGUGGGUAGCAAACAGGAUUAGAUACCCUGGUAGUCCACGCUGUAAACGAUGGAUACUAGGUGUGGGAGGUAUCGACCCCUUCCGUGCCGGAGCAAACGCAAUAAGUAUCCCGCCUGGGGAGUACGGUCGCAAGGUUGAAACUUAAAGAAAUCGACGG
rnacentral:rRNA from 1 species